rnacentral:rRNA from 1 species
GACGGAGGAUGCAAGCGUUAUCCGGAAUGAUUGGGCGUAAAGCGUCCGCAGGUGGCAGUUCAAGUCUGCUGUCAAAGACCGGGGCUUAACUUCGGAAAGGCAGUGGAAACUGAACAGCUAGAGUAUGGUAGGGGCAGAGGGAAUUCCUGGUGUAGCGGUGAAAUGCGUAGAGAUCAGGAAGAACAUCGGUGACGAAGGCGCUCUGCUGGACCAUAACUGACACUCAGGGACGAAAGCUAGGGGAGCGAAUGGG